UACGUAGGGUGCAAGCGUUGUCCGGAAUUAUUGGGCGGAAAGAGCUCGUAGGCGGUCUGUCACGUCGGCUGUGAAAACCCGAGGCUCAACCUCGGGCCUGCAGUCGAUACGGGCAAACUAGAGUACUGCAGGGGAGUCUGGAAUUCCUGGUGUAGCGGUGAAAUGCGCAGAUAUCAGGAGGAACACCGGUGGCGAAGGCGGGUCUCUGGGCAGUAACUGACGCUGAGGAGCGAAAGCGUGGGGAGCGAACAGG
rnacentral:rRNA from 1 species